rnacentral:rRNA from 1 species
GACGAACGCUGGCGGCGUGCCUAAUACAUGCAAGUCGAACGCUUUGAUUUUCACCGGAGCUUGCUCCACCGAAAAUCAAAGAGUGGCGGACGGGUGAGUAACACGUGGGCAACCUGCCCAACAGAGGGGGAUAACACUUGGAAACAGGUGCUAAUACCGCAUAAUUUGUUUUUCCGCAUGGAAGAAUAAUAAAAGACGCUUCGGUGUCACUGUUGGAUGGGCCCGCGCUGCAUUAGUUAGUUGGUGGGGUAACGGCCUACCAAGACCAUGAUGCAUAGCCGGCCUGAGAGGGUGAUCGGCCACACUGGGACUGAGACACGGCCCAGACUCCUACGGGAGGCAGCAGUAGGGAAUCUUCGGCAAUGGACGAAAGUCUGACCGAGCAACGCCGCGUGAGUGAAGAAGGUUUUCGGAUCGUAAAACUCUGUUGUUAGAGAAGAACAAGUGAGAGAGUUACUGUUCUCACCUUGACGGUAUCUAACCAGAAAGCCACGGCUAACUACGUGCCAGCAGCCGCGGUAAUACGUAGGUGGCAAGCGUUGUCCGGAUUUAUUGGGCGUAAAGCGAGCGCAGGCGGUUUCUUAAGUCUGAUGUGAAAGCCCUCGGCUCAACCGAGGAAGGUCAUUGGAAACUGGGGAACUUGAGUGCAGAAGAGGAGAGUGGAAUUCCAUGUGUAGCGGUGAAAUGCGUAGAUAUAUGGAGGAACACCAGUGGCGAGGCGACUCUCUGGUCUGUAACUGACGCUGAGGCUCGAAAGCGUGGGGAGCAAACAGG